rnacentral:rRNA from 1 species
UACGUAGGGUGCAAGCGUUAAUCGGAAUUACUGGGCGUAAAGCGUGCGCAGGCGGUCUUGCAAGACAGAUGUGAAAUCCCCGGGCUCAACCUGGGAACUGCAUUUGUGACUGCAAGGCUGGAGUGCGGCAGAGGGGGAUGGAAUUCCGCGUGUAGCAGUGAAAUGCGUAGAGAUGUGGAGGAACACCGAUGGCGAAGGCAGCCUUCUGGGCCAACACUGACGCUCAUGCACGAAAGCGUGGGGAGCAAACAGG